AGUAAACAAAUACUCUUCAGAGUCUCGUGGGGGGGGAGGAGCAGCCAGAGAAGGGGGCUUUCCUGGGAGAAAUCCUGCGCCCUGCCACCUCAGCCACGAAGGCAGGCCUGCAUGUAAACAGAGGGUGCCAUUGCACACACGUUGCCAGGAGGGAGGGAGCAAAGGCUGAGCCUCGGUAAAUCACGGUAAGUGCUGCCAGCCGAUGCCAUAAAACCUUUUUUUUUUUUUAGGUUCAUGGGAGCAUAUAUAAUAUUCUGCCAGCCAUUUCCCUCCUCAUGAAAAUGAUCUCAUUAUUCUUGCUGAAAGCCAUCAAUUACCAGUACUCGUGGUCUUGCUAUAGGAGGAGCCCCCCCCCCGGAGGAAGAAAUGGUCCUGCCUCUGGACCUCCUCCCCUCCGCCCUGGUUCGAUCCUGCCCCAGGUCCACAGCUCGCGGGGAUGGCCGAAAUGAGCUGCGCAGAGAAAGGGAGCUGCUCGGCGGAGGGCUCCUAUCUCGUUAGGAACAGGAUUUAGACUUUUCCACCUCCAAGGUAAUUUCACCCCCCCCCCAAAAAAAAGUUAAGUUACUUGAUUUGUAACUUCUUAUUCUGCCUUUAUUAUGGGUCUGCAGUGGGGCUGACUGCCCACUUAUUUACGUUGAGCUUACUCUGCUCCAGAGAGGGGAACUUUGAUUUCUUUCUUGUCUCAGAGAAUCAUACAAUCAUGAAGUUGGAAGAGGCCAACCUCCUGCUCAGGAUAUCAAAGGAUCUCCGCCAGGUGGUUGUCUACAUUUCUCUUGGANNNNNNNNNCCCCGUGUUGGAGCCCUCACCACCAGCUGUCCUACUGCUCUAACAGUUAGGAAUUUUUUUUCCUGAUAUUCAAAUGAAAUCUGGCUUCCUGUAACUUGAGCCCAUUGUUACCAGUCCUGCAGUCAGGGAUCACUGAGAACAGAUCCUGCCCCGCCUCCUCCUUUCAAGUAUUUCAAAAAGUGUGAUCCUAUCUCCCCUCAGCCUUCUUUUCUCAAGGCUAAACAUUCCCAGUUCUUUCAGCCUUUCCUCAUUAGGCUUGGUUUCCAGCCCCCUGACCAUCCUUUUCGCCCUCCUCUGAACGUGUUCCAAAUUGUCAGCAUCCUUCCCAAAGUGUGGUGUCCAGAACUGGGGACAGUUCUCUAGAUGAGGCCUAACCUGUGCUGAACAGAGGGAGACUAGCACCUCACAGGAUUUGGAGAAAAUUAUCAUCCACACAAGCCAGGAAUUUCUAGGAAGGUCCAUGCUUUGCAGAAUUUGCCUCCAAACAGAUAUCAGGAUAACUGAAAUCUCCCAUCCCUACUACAUUGUGUCUCUUUGACAUCCUUGCAGCUUGUUUUGCAAAAGCUUCAUCUGCUUCUUCUCCUUGAUUUGGCAGCCGGUAGUCAACUAACAAGUUCCUUUUGUUUUUUGCCCCAACUACAUUGAUCCAGAUGCUCUCAAUG
rnacentral:lncRNA from 1 species